rnacentral:rRNA from 1 species
UACGUAGGCGGAAAAUAAGUCAGUAGUGAAAUCCUGCAGCUUAACUGUAGAACUGUUAUUGAUGCUGGUUUUCUUGAAUAUAGUUGAGGUAGGCGGAAUGUGUAAUGUAGCGGUGAAAUGCUUAGAUAUUACACAGAACACCGAUUGCGAAGGCAGCUUACUAAGCUAUGAUUGACGCUGAGGUACGAAAGCGUGGGGAGCGAACAGGAUUAGAUACCCUGGUAGUCC